rnacentral:rRNA from 1 species
UUGACCUCGAAUCAGGUAGGAAUACCCGCUGAACUUAAGCAUAUCAAUAAGCGGAGGAAAAGAAACCAACAGGGAUUGCCCCAGUAACGGCGAGUGAAGCGGCAACAGCUCAAAUUUGAAAUCUGGCCCCUUGGGGCCCGAGUUGUAAUUUGCAGAGGAUACUUUUGGCGAGGCGCCUUCCGAGUUCCCUGGAACGGGACGCCAUAGAGGGUGAGAGCCCCGUCUGGUUGGAUGCCGAGCCUCUGUAAAGUUCCUUCGACGAGUCGAGUAGUUUGGGAAUGCUGCUCUAAAUGGGAGGUAUAUGUCUUCUAAAGCUAAAUAUUGGCCAGAGACCGAUAGCGCACAAGUAGAGUGAUCGAAAGAUGAAAAGCACUUUGGAAAGAGGGUUAAAAAGCACGUGAAAUUGUUGAAAGGGAAGCGCUUGUGACCAGACGUGGGCCUGUCGGAUCAUCCAGCGUUCUCGCUGGUGCACUCCGGCGGGCUCAGGCCAGCAUCAGCUCGUCCCGGGGGACAAAGGCAGCGGGAAUGUGGCUCCUUCGGGAGUGUUAUAGCCCGCUGCGUAAUGCCCUGGGGCGGGCUGAGGUUCGCGCAUCUGCAU